rnacentral:rRNA from 1 species
GAUGAACGCUGGCGGCGUGCCUAAUACAUGCAAGUCGAGCGAACAGAUGAGGAGCUUGCUCCUCUGACGUUAGCGGCGGACGGGUGGGUAACACGUGGAUAACCUACCUAUAAGACUGGGAUAACUUCGGGAAACCGGAGCUAAUACCGGAUAAUAUAUUGAACCGCAUGGUUCAAUAGUGAAAGACGGUUUUGCUGUCACUUAUAGAUGGAUCCGCGCCGCAUUAGCUAGUUGGUAAGGUAACGGCUUACCAAGGCGACGAUGCGUAGCCGACCUGAGAGGGUGAUCGGCCACACUGGAACUGAGACACGGUCCAGACUCCUACGGGAGGCAGCAGUAGGGAAUCUUCCGCAAUGGGCGAAAGCCUGACGGAGCAACGCCGCGUGAGUGAUGAAGGUCUUCGGAUCGUAAAACUCUGUUAUUAGGGAAGAACAAAUGUGUAAGUAACUAUGCACGUCUUGACGGUACCUAAUCAGAAAGCCACGGCUAACUACGUG